rnacentral:tRNA from 1 species
AAAUAAGAAGCGAAUUUUGCACUCAGUUUCGACCUGAUAUUUGGUUAAUUAAACCCUUAUUUA